rnacentral:rRNA from 1 species
GACGAACGCUGGCGGCGCGCUUAACACAUGCAAGUCGAACGGAAAGGCCUGCUUUCCCUUGUGGAUUGCGGGUACUCGAGUGGCGAACGGGUGAGUAGCACGUGAGUGAUCUGCCCCCAACUUGGGUAUAAGCCUGGGAAACUGGGUCUAAUUCCCGAUAGGACUGCAGGGUGGUGCCUGUGGUGGAAAACGAUUUUCUAGUGGUUGGGGAUGAGCUCGCGGCCUAUCAGCUUGUUGGUGGGGUAAUGGCCUACCAAGGCGGCGACGGGUAGCCGGCCUGAGAGGGUGGACGGCCACAUUGGGACUGAGAUACGGCCCAGACUCCUACGGGAGGCAGCAGUGGGGAAUAUUGCACAAUGGGCGGAAGCCUGAGGCAGCGACGCCGCGUGGGGGAUGACGGCCUUCGGGUUGUAAACUCCUUUCGACCGCGAGGAAGCCACCUGGUUGGAAGGGUGGUGACGGUAGUGGUAGAAGAAGCACCGGCUAACUACGUG